rnacentral:rRNA from 1 species
UAAACGACUCUCGGCAACGGAUAUCUCGGCUCACGCAUCGAUGAAGAACGUAGCAAAAUGCGAUACUUGGUGUGAAUUGCAGAAUCCCGUGAACCAUCGAGUUUUUGAACGCAAGUUGCGCCCGAAGCCAUCUGGUUGAGGGCACGCCUGCCUGGGCGUCACGC